rnacentral:sRNA from 1 species
UUUUAGCCCUGAUGGAAGCGGCAUCCUUUUAUUCUGGGUUUCAGAAUAAAAGAUACAGCAUACAGCAGGAAAAAAU